rnacentral:tRNA from 1 species
UCUUGGGAACGGCUUAAUUUAACGUCUGGAAUUGCUUCUUCGUCAACACCUUUAAUAAAUUGGAUUUGUGCCAUAUUUAAUUUUAAUUA